CACAAAACGAUGAAGAAGAGUAUGGAGUAAAGAAGAAACGUUCACGUGCAUCGAAGAAUACCGAGAGGCACAACCGUUCAACAUCAGCGUCGAACCCAAAAGGGAAAAGACAAUGUACUGGAGUGAUCUCGACAAAAGUAGAAGUAUGCAACAAUAGCACUGUUGACGAGACGUUUAGUCAUGAUGUGGAUGUUUUCAAGUAUCUAAUCCAGCAGGGAUUUGUACAA